rnacentral:rRNA from 1 species
GACUUCGGUCCUAGUGGCGAACGGUCGCGUAACACGUAAGCAACCUGCCCUGAAGUGGGGGACAACAUCCCGAAAGGGGUGCUAAUACCGCAUGUGGUCACGAGUCGGCAUCGACUUGUGUCUAAAGAUUUAUCGCUUCAGGAUGGGCUUGCGGCCUAUCAGGUAGUUGGUGGGGUAAUGGCCUACCAAGCCGACGACGGGUAGCUGGUCUGAGAGGACGAUCAGCCGGAUUGGGACUGAGAUACGGCCCAGACUCCUACGGGGGGCAGCAAUUAGGAAUCUUGCGCAAUGGGGGAAACCCUGACGCAGCGACGUCGCGUGAAGGAUGAAGGCCCUCGGGUCGUAAACUUCUUUUGAGUGGGAAGAAAUUUGACGGUACCACUCGAAUAAGCCCCGGCUAACUACGUGCCAGCAGCCGCGGUAAUACGUAGGGGGCGAGCGUUGUCCGAAGUUACUGGGCGUAAAGCGCGCGUAGGCGGUUAUUUAAGUCUGGGGUGAAAG